AACGAACGCUGGCGGCAGGCUUAACACAUGCAAGUCGAGCGCCCCGCAAGGGGAGCGGCAGACGGGUGAGUAACGCGUGGGAACGUACCCUUUGCUACGGAAUAGCUCCGGGAAACUGGAAUUAAUACCGUAUGUGCCCUACGGGGGAAAGAUUUAUCGGCAAAGGAUCGGCCCGCGUUGGAUUAGCAAGUUGGUGGGGUAAUGGCCUACCAAGGCGACGAUCCAUAGCCGGUCUGGGAGGAUGAUCAGCCACAUUGGGACUGGGACACGGCCCAAACUCGUACGGGGGGCAGCAGUGGGGAAUAUUGGACAAUGGGCGCAAGCCUGAGCCAGCCAUGCCGCGUGAGUGAUGAAGGCCUUAGGGUUGUAAAGCUCUUUCACCGGAGAAGAUAAUGACGGUAUCCGGAGAAGAAGCCCCGGCUAACUUCGUGCCAGCCGCCGCGGUAAUAC
rnacentral:rRNA from 1 species